UAAUAAAUAUAUAGAAUAUUUUCCCGAUAAAAAAAGAUCUAUAUUUUUAUUAUUUAUAGUUAAUCCCUACAAUGUAGCAUUAUUGUAUAAAAAUUUUUGUAUAGAGGUGAAACACCUACAAUUUUUUUGAUAUCUGGAUUGAGUUUAAAUGAAUUUAGUUCUUAACAUAAUCGAGGAGUUAUAAGAUUUUUCGAGACUAGAAUUUUAGGUUAUAAAUAUAUAUAGGAAUAAAUUUCUUAAUAUUUGUAUUUAAUAAUAUUCAUGUUAUCUUACAUCUACUUACUAAACUUUUUCUACGUUCAAAUUUAAGUGCUAGUUUAUAAUGUUUAAAUAAGUAUUUUCUAUUAAAUCAUGAAAAGGAACUCGGCAAACUUUUCCUCAACUGUUUACCAAAAACAUAGCUUAAAGGAAUAAUUUAUUUUAAGUGUUUUCUGCCCAGUGAAUAUUUUAACGGCCGCAGUACACUGACUGUGCUAAGGUAGCAUAAUAAUUUGGCUUUUAAUUGAAGUCGGGUAUGAAAGGGAUUAUGGGGAACAUCUGUCUUUUUUAGACGAGUAAAAAUUACUAAGGAAGUGAAAAUUCUUUCAGUACAUAUGUAAGACGAGAAGACCCUAAGAAUUUUAUAUAAUAUUAUGAAUUUUUCAUUAAAAAUUUUUGUUGGGGCAACAGCUUUGGUAAACCAAAGUUACUAUUAUUUUACAAGCCAAUAAUUAUAAGAAGGAUGAAAUUACCUUAGGGAUAACAGCAUAAUUAUUUUAUUAGAUUGUGACCUCGAUGUUGGACUAAGGACUAAGUUAAAUAGCCUUUAAUUUAGCUGGUUCUGUUCGAACUAUUUAACCUUA
rnacentral:rRNA from 1 species